GAGGCUUCUGAUUUAAGGUACCCGUUCUGAUAAGACUUGGCUAAGUAAUUGCACAUCCUUCACUGCCUGGCCUCAUAGAAAAUUGGGUACAUGUUAAACAUAAUAAUAAGAAAUAAAAAGAAAAUAUAACAAGAUUUAAGACGCCGUUUUAGUAGUUUUUAGGUGAUCAUCAACAGAAAAGAAGACAAACUGUUGAUGAUGCAGACCUUGAAUCAGUAGUUGCUCACUUGAACUCUAUGGAAGCAAUUGAAAUUAUCAAUAAUGAUGUUUAAUUUUUAAAUUCAGGUAUCCAAGCUUUGCUUACUUUGAUGUGACAACCCUCCAUUCUAAUUUCUGUUUGAGAGAACUUUUAUGAUCCUAUGGUUUAUUCAAGAAAUAAUUCCUUCAUGGGUAGGCAUUAUAUUUGUUAAUACUUUACACUGAGCGUCAGCAAGGGGUAAAAUUUGUUCAAACAUAAUACUUACCCACGUUAAUUAAAUUGAGCAUAGAGCAUGACAUGAAGGUAUUAUUACGAUUCAAAUAGGACAAAUACAGUAUUUUUAUAGGUCAUAGCGCACAAAUUACCUGAAAAAUGUUUGGUUGUUCUUGAUUCCUCCCCAUGGACUCUGUACAUUACAUUUUCAUAUUUUUAAGUUUAAAAACAAAAGGCAGGGUAAAUAUAUGUUGUUUGAUGCUAAAUAUAGAUAUUUUAUUAGAAUAACAAUGAAAAUAAUGA
rnacentral:lncRNA from 1 species